rnacentral:rRNA from 1 species
UACGUAGGGGACGAGCGUUGUCCGGAAUCACUGGGCGUAAAGCGCACGUAGGCGGAUGUGUCAGUCAGGGGUGAAAUCCCGGAGCUCAACUUCGGAACUGCCUUUGAUACAGCACGUCUUGAGUCCGAUAGAGGUGGGUGGAAUUCCUAGUGUAGAGGUGAAAUUCGUAGAUAUUAGGAAGAACACCGGUGGCGAAGGCGGCCCACUGGAUCGGUACUGACGCUGAGGUGCGAAAGCGUGGGGAGCAAACAGG